CCUUCGAGCACAACACCAGCCUCACCCACUCCAGCAAGCCUCCCUGACCUCUCCCACGAGCUCCAGAAGCUCUCCUCGCCUCUGUUGGCCAUCAUGGCCGCCACGGUGCUCCGGCUAAAUUCGCUCGCAGUCGAGCCCCUCCCCUCCUUCUACCACCACCAGAGACCCACCUAGUCCCCCGCGAACCUCCCCCACCUCUCCACGAGUCGCCAGAGCCACUAUGGCCUCGAGUCCCAUCGCCACCCGUAGCCUCUUCCGCCGUGACCCGUGCCAUCGUCAUUCUGAUCCUUCUCGGCGUCCGUGCAGUGCGGGGAUGGACGCGGCACUCUUCCCCGAGCUCGUCGGUGCUCGGAGCGUCGGCAACGGUGGCCGGAGUCGCCGGGGCUCGUCGCCGGAGCCGCGCCCCUGCUCUGCUCCGUCGGGCACGCGCGAGGAGGAAGAAAGAGCCAGGCCAGGCGGGCCCCCUCCUUUCCCCGACCCCACCUGGCAGCCACUCAGGCCCGGCCCCGCCCCUGCAUGCGUUGACCCGGGCGGCCAGCAUGGAUAAGUGACGGGCCCCACCCCGUGGGACCCACACGUCAGCGACCCCAGCCCCGGACCCGCGCGCGCUUAAGUGGAAGCGUACUUCAGGAAGUACGUUUUCGCGUGAACUCAGGGGCCUGUUUGUAGAGUUAUUUUUAUAGAUUGGUCCCUGAACUUCGUCGGGCUAUAACUUUUUGCUCGCAACUCCGUUUGAGUCCCCUCCGAGAGAGUACGUUUUCCGGCUAUCCUUUCUGCGAGUUUCUCACACUUUCUCCCGGUGAUUUCUUCCACCCCACUCAAGACACAGCCUCCAUUUGCAUGAUUGCAAUGCAGUGACAUGGUUUAUUUAUUUGAACCUAUUUAAAAUAUUGCAUUAGCUAUGUGUGAUCUGUUCAUGGCAUUUCUCGGAGUAUGGUUUUGAUCUUGAUAUUGCCAUGAUAUUGCUUGGAGUUCUAGGACAUAUGUUUU